CCCGCCUCUCCGCGCCCCCUCCCCGCCCUGCGAUCCACAACGUUCGGCCUCCCCGCCGCUCCCGCAGUCGGGCCAGGACUCCACACAGGGACCUCCGCCCUAUCCUCCUCGGGCCAACCCCGGCGGUCCCCAUCCCCGACGGACGAGAGAUAGGGUCCCAAGGCAGGAGGUGAAGCCAAGGGUUGACAUCUGUUUCUCCACUACCCAUUGCCUGCCCCCUGCCACCACAUUCCCUAUCAGACUUUCCCAGAAGAGGAAACCAGCUCUCCAGGCAGCCCCAUCCACUGUUCGGAAACCUGGACAGAGAUAGAGGUCGCUGGGCUGCUGUCUGCCUCCCCCACCAACACACACCACUGGAGCGGGGACUCGGGCCAGGUGACUCAAUGCCUUGCACUCCUGAGCACUCAGCCCAUAGGAACUCGGAGCCCAGCCCUGAGGAAUUCCUGCCAGAGGUCAGGAGGGCAGGUCUGGAGCCGCCUUUCACUUUGUAACAUUGAAAAGUUCUUUCUGAACUCCACCUCCCAUCCACUUACCAAUGUUGUGUCUUGAGGGCCCUAGAAAGACGGCCUAGUCCUGCUAUCUGGUAAGCUGGGGACAAGUCACAG
rnacentral:lncRNA from 1 species